CUUGGUGAUCAUAACGACGUGGAACCACUCGAUUACAUUCCGAACUCGCCUGUGAAACAUGUAUAGUGCCGAUUGUACUAAGUUUUUUAGCUUGGGAGAUUAGGUAAUCGCCAAGC
rnacentral:rRNA from 1 species